AAUUCUUCAUAAACCAUUGUUGAGCAUCAUCAAUCAGUUUACUAAAAUUUUGUAGUAAUUAGAUGUUAGGUUAAUUUGAUUUUGAACAAAUGGAGAAAAGAAACGACGAAAAGCUGCAGUUUAACUACUUUCUUAAUAAUUGCAGAAUUUGUAUAUUUAAACUAUUGCUGAUUUAUGAGCAUUACGUUCUUGCAUAACUUAAAUUGCUAUCCAGUAAAAAAAUAAAUCUUAAAUUUCAAAAAUAAAAAACGAUGCUUUUUAUUAUUCUA
rnacentral:lncRNA from 1 species